rnacentral:rRNA from 1 species
UAGCUCACUGGUCUAGUGAUUUUGCGCGGAAAAUAUAACGGGGCUAAAGUAAGUACCGAAGCUGUAGACUUAGUUUACUAAGUGGUAGGAGAGCGUUCUAUUUGCGUCGAAGGUAUACCGGUAAGGAGUGCUGGAGCGAAUAGAAGUGAGCAUGCAGGCAUGAGUAGCGAUAAUUAAUGUGAGAAUCAUUAACGCCGUAAACCCAAGGUUUCCUACGCGAUGCUCGUCAUCGUAGGGUUAGUCGGGUCCUAAGUCGAGUCCGAAAGGGGUAGACGAUGGCAAAUUGGUUAAUAUUCCAAUACCAACAUUAGUGUGCGAUGGAAGGACGCUUAGGGCUAAGGGGGCUAGCGGAUGGAAGUGCUAGUCUAAGGUCGUAGGAGGUUGUACAGGCAAAUCCGUAUAACAAUACUCCGAGAACUGAAAGGCUUUUUGAAGUCUUCGGAUGGAUAGAAGAACCCCUGAUGCCGUCGAGCCAAGAAAAGUUUCUAAGUUUAGCUAAUGUUGCCCGUACCGUAAACCGACACAGGUGGGUGGGAUGAGUAUUCUAAGGCGCGUGGAAGAACUCUCUUUAAGGAACUCUGCAAAAUAGCACCGUAUCUUCGGUAUAAGGUGUGGUUAGCUUUGUAUUAGGAUUUACUCCGAAAGCAAGGAAACUUACAACAAAGAGUCCCUCCCGACUGUUUACCAAAAACACAGCACUCUGCUAACUCGUAAGAGGAUGUAUAGGGUGUGACGCCUGCCCGGUGCUCGAAGGUUAAUUGAUGGGGUUAGCAUUAGCGAAGCUCUUGAUCGAAGCCCGAGUAAACGGCGGCCGUAACUAUAACGGUCCUAAGGUAGCGAAAUUCCUUGUCGGUUAAAUACCGACCUGCAUGAAUGGCGUAACGAGAUGGGAGCUGUCUCAAAGAGGGAUCCAGUGAAAUUGUAGUGGAGGUGAAAAUUCCUCCUACCCGCGGCAAGACGGAAAGACCCCGUGGACCUUUACUACAGCUUGACACUGCUACUUGGAUAAGAAUGUGCAGGAUAGGUGGGAGGCUUUGAGUAUAUGACGCCAGUUGUAUAUGAGCCAUUGUUGAGAUACCACUCUUUCUUAUUUGGGUAGCUAACCAGCUUGAGUUAUCCUCAAGUGGGACAAUGUCUGGUGGGUAGUUUGACUGGGGCGGUCGCCUCCCAAAUAAUAACGGAGGCUUACAAAGGUUGGCUCAGAACGGUUGGAAAUCGUUCGUAGAGUAUAAAGGUAUAAGCCAGCUUAACUGCAAGACAUACAAGUCAAGCAGAGACGAAAGUCGGUCUUAGUGAUCCGGUGGUUCUGUGUGGAAGGGCCAUCGCUCAAAGGAUAAAAGGUACCCCGGGGAUAACAGGCUGAUCUCCCCCAAGAGCUCACAUCGACGGGGAGGUUUGGCACCUCGAUGUCGGCUCAUCGCAUCCUGGGGCUGGAGCAGGUCCCAAGGGUAUGGCUGUUCGCCAUUUAAAGCGGUACGCGAGCUGGGUUCAGAACGUCGUGAGACAGUUCGGUCCCUAUCUGCCGUGGGCGUAAGAAGAUUGAAGAGAUUUGACCCUAGUACGAGAGGACCGGGUUGAACAAACCACUGGUGUAGCUGUUGUUCUGCCAAGAGCAUCGCAGCGUAGCUAAGUUUGGAAAGGAUAAACGCUGAAAGCAUCUAAGCGUGAAGCCAACUCUAAGAUGAAUCUUCUCUAAGCUCUCUAGAAGACUACUAGUUUGAUAGGCUGGGUGUGUAAUGGAUGAAAGUCCUUUAGCUGACCAGUACUAAUAGAGCGUUUGGCUUAUCUUUAAUAAAGCAU